CGGCGUGGUUAAGAUAUGCAAGUCGAGCGCGACUUAUUCUGUAGCAAUACAGGGUAAGUUGAGCAGCGAAAGGGUGCGUAACACGUGGGCAAUUUGCCAUGAAGUUGGGGAUAACUCGCUGAAAGGCGAGCUAAUACCGAAUGUGAUUAUCUGGAGGCAUCUUUGGAUAAUUAAAGCUGGGGAUCGUAAGACCUGGCGCUUUAUGAUGAGCCCGCGGCCUAUCAGCUAGUUGGUAAGGUAAUGGCUUACCAAGGCUAAGACGGGUAGCUGGUCUGAGAGGACGACCAGCCACACUGGAACUGAGACACGGUCCAGACACCUACGGGUGCCAGC
rnacentral:rRNA from 1 species